GCUGUCUAGCUUAGUCGGUAGAGUGUAAAGCUUUUAAACUUGUGGUUGUGGGUUCGAGCCCCAUGGUGGGCU
rfam:Zea mays cultivar B73 chromosome 1, whole genome shotgun sequence.